GAACGUUUGGCUCAGCUGGUCAGAGCAUCGCUCCCGCGACGAGACGUGGGUCGUAGGUUCCCUGCCCGAUUGAGUUCGGUCAGGCGGGGAAUCCCACAGCGUCCA
rnacentral:tRNA from 1 species